rnacentral:rRNA from 1 species
AAUCAACGCUGGCGGCGUGCCUAACACAUGCAAGUCGAACGAGAAAGCCUGUAGCAAUACAGGUGAGUACAGUGGCGACCGGGUGAGUAACACGUGGAUAACCUGCCACCGAGUGGGGAAUAACCCUGGGAAACCGGGGCUAAUACCGCAUAACACCCAGCGGCUUCGGCUGCGGGGUUGAAACCUGGCAACGGGGCUUGGUGAGGGGUCCGCGGCCGAUUAGCUAGUUGGUGAGGUAACGGCCCACCAAGGCAAUGAUCGGUAGCCGGCCUGAGAGGGCGGACGGCCACACUGGAACUGCAACACGGUCCAGACUCCUACGGGAGGCAGCAGUGGGGAAUUUUGCGCAAUGGGGGAAACCCUGACGCAGCAACGCCGCGUGGACGAUGAAGCCCCUUGGGGUGUAAAGUCCUUUCGGCAGGGAAGAAGCUGGAGCAAUCCAGUUGACGGUACCUGAAGAAGAACGCCCGGCUAACUCCGUGCCAGC